UUAAAUGAAAUAAGCCCAUUAUAAAUAAAUAGAACAUGGCCCUAUAAAAACAAGCCCAACUACUUAUUAAAAACGGCCCAAAACCCGGCCCAAAACCCGGCCCAACCUCAAACACCCUAACCCAAACCCUUCUUCUUUUCUUCCCCCUUCUUCUACCUAAGCUGCGCCCCUCCCCCUUCAUUCUCGUCUCUCUCUCUUCUCCCACUCUCGGCGCCUCUGCGCUCUCUCCGCCGCCGCCGCCGUUCAAUGGCGCCAUCGCCGCCGACGAGCGGCGCUCUGCUCUCCCUCGGCAUCUCUCCUCUUCCUCUCGGUUCUCUCCCUCUCUCUCAGUUCUCACUGACUCACACACACACGCACGCAGACACGGCGUAAGCCGCGCCGCCGCGUCGUCUUCUUCCCCGGCGAGGACAGCACCGGUCAGCCAUCUCCCUUCUCUCGACUCCGGCAGCAGUAGCAGCAGCUGUUAAUGAAGCCAGCCACCGCCGAAGCCCUGAAUCACCGACUCCCUCGAAUCCGGCGACCACAGGACAGCCAUGGCCGCCGCCCUUCCUCCCUCCGAUUUCCGGCGAAGCCGCAGCCGCAGCCGCCGACAACCCAGAACGGAAACCACCCUGUGGCUCCGCCGCCGUCCGUCGACCACCGGCAGCCACCGCGGCUGCCGUCUCCCUCGGAUCUCACACAAAACAGGGGCUCACCCCAGAUUUCAUUCAAACACUUAGCAUAGGGUUUUUGUGCAAAAACAUAUACUGCAAAGUCAUACACUGUAAAUAUGAAAUUAUAAAUAUCAUGUACUGUAAUGCUUAUAAAAUCUGAAAUUCUUUUCUUGCAAUAAAACACUCAGUGUAGAAAUUUCAGUUCA